AGUGAACGCUGGCGGUAGGCCUAACACAUGCAAGUCGAACGGCAGCACAGUAAGAGCUUGCUCUUACGGGUGGCGAGUGGCGGACGGGUGAGGAAUACAUCGGAAUCUACUUUUUCGUGGGGGAUAACGUAGGGAAACUUACGCUAAUACCGCAUACGAUCUACGGGUGAAAGCAGGGGAUCUUCGGACCUUUCGCGAUUGAAUGAGCCGAUGUCGGAUUAGCUAGUUGGCGGGGUAAAGGCCCACCAAGGCGACGCUCCGUAGCUGGUCUGAGAGGAUGAUCGGCCACACUGGAACUGAGACACGGUCCAGACUCCUACGGGAGGCAGCAGUGGGGAAUAUUGGGCAAUGGGCGCAAGCCUGAUCCAGCCAUACCGCGUGGGUGAAGAAGGCCUUCGGGUUGUAAAGCCCUUUUGUUGGGAAAGAAAAGCAGCAGGUUAAUACCCCGCUGUUCUGACGGUACCCAAAGAAUAAGCACCGGCUAACUUCGUG
rnacentral:rRNA from 1 species